CAAAUGGAGUCCUCAAAGUUUCAGAUUUUGGAUUAAGCGCUCUACCUCAGCAAGUUCGAGAAGAUGGGUUACUGCACACGACCUGUGGAACACCAAAUUAUGUUGCUCCUGAAGUGAUUAAGAAUAAAGGCUACGAUGGAGCUAAAGCAGAUCUAUGGUCGUACGGUGUAAUACUUUUUGUACUAUUUGCAGGCUUUCUGCCAUUUGAAGAGUCCAACCUCAUGGAAUU